GACCGCAUCUUGACGGCGCAAUUCCUCGUCAUCCCCGGUUGCAUCGGCGACGAGAGAAGGGGGCGAUGGAGCCGCCGGAGAGGAAGAGAACGAGGAGGGAGUCGAAGCGGCCGUCCUCCCCCAUGCCGGCGAAGCGCGCGGCAACGAAGGGCAAUCUGCGGCGGAGCGGAUGGGAUGCGCCGGCGGCGGCCACUUAGGCCCCCAACAAUUGUUACACCAACUACUACUUUUUCCGCCGACAGAGCUAACAUGUGAGAUCGCUCGAUGGACAGUAGAAUGCUCCCCAUGGUUCUAUGCUUGGCUAUAUUAUCAAUAUUCAUUUCCCCAUGACACAUAGACUCUCAACAAGAGGCUCUUAUUCCUCUCGGUGUUAUUCCUCACAUCCUUUUUCCACAUUUGUUUUCCUACUGAAACUUAAAUUGUGAAGUCUAGCAAGCCUGCUAACACUACUCUUGUUCACUCUUCGGAAUUGACUAUGCAGUGUUGUUUCAUUA